rnacentral:rRNA from 1 species
GACGAACCGUGCAAACGUUGUUCGGAAUCACUGGGCUUAAAGGGCGCGUAGGCGGGCUGCCAAGUCUGGGGUGAAAUCUUUCGGCUUAACCGGAAAAUUGCCCUGGAUACUGGCGGUCUGGAGGGAGGUAGGGGCAUGUGGAACUUCCGGUGGAGCGGUGAAAUGCGUUGAUAUCGGAAGGAACGCCGGUGGCGAAAGCGACGUGCUGGACCUCUUCUGACGCUGAGGCGCGAAAGCUAGGGGAGCGAACGGG